GCAUACAAACAGGGGAGCCUGCGACAAGCCGGCUGAGAGUAAGCUGUACUGCUUAGACCCUUAACCUGAUUUAGAUAAUGCUAACGUAGGGAAAUAAUGACUGUAACGG
rnacentral:ncRNA from 2 species